GGCUAUUCGAUCUCUAUUCUCCGAAACUUAAUGUUGAAAUAAACAAAAGAUAAAAUUUGCUCCGUUCUGGCUCCUUGCUGUGCUCCUCUCAGUUUUACUUGCAACUGCUGGUGCUGGAAAAUUGCUAGUAAGAAGAAUCAGAACAUGUCAGAAUCAGCAUCAGUAUCUGGAUCAGCAUCAACAAUGCCUGGAAACGAGUCCAUAGAUGAGUCACUAUCCAAAUGCACCAUAGAUGAACUACCCUUCUUGGCAUUUGGCAAGGUUGAUGAAGUUUUUCCAGCAACAUGAUCAAAGCCAUCAACUUUAUCCACGCAAGAGAACAUAUCAUGAUUGGCAUCAUUUAAUCUAUCACUAGCAGAAAGAGGCAUCUUAGAUUCUAUUUCACUACCUUCAGGAUUUGUUCCAACUGCAGGACUCAUGACGGCUUUUGCAGAAGCUACUCCCUGAGACUUUGGAACUGAUUCUUCUAAGUGCCAGGGCUGCACCACAAUUUCAUUUUCCGUUCUCAUAUGCACAUCUGCAUUAGCUGCUGCUGGCUCUUGUUCCCUUACCUCUAAAACAUUUGUAAAUGAUGGAUCAUUUGGUCUUGAUGUUUGAUCCUUCAUAUCCUCAACAGGAAUGUUUUCAUUUUCAUUUUGAUUUUCGUUUUCGUUUUCGUUUUGUAGCCACCUGUCAUAUAAAUCAUCAUCAUGUGACUCAACACCACCUUGUUCUGUUCUACGCAUGGCACUGAGAAACGAUGUAUUUUGCUUCUGACUGCCAGAGUAAAUAUUUUCUAGGAAUCUAUUGCUAGCUCCAUCAGUAGAAUUAUGACAAGCAGAGUAGAAAUCAUCUAGUGGAAGGGCUCUAGGAUGUAUGAGCACCUCCAGUGCAAACAAAGCAUAGGCACAAAAUUGGGCGAGCUUCAUUCCAGCUUCUUGUUUACCUGGAAUAGACAUAUAAUUACAGUUAAACAAAAUGAAGAAUGGCACAGAAGUUAACAAGAAUCUAUAUAUGCAACAAGGAUCUAUAUAUGCAACAGACUAUGGAAAUGCCUGCACAAUGUUUUUAACUUAUUAAUUAUUUGACUUUACAGGCUAAGCUGGUUUUUUGCCCUGGCAUCAAUUUGGAGUGGAGCACAAUAAGCACUACAAACGACGAGUUCCAAGAGGUCAUUUGAGCUGAAAAUGAAUUUAGUUUAUGGUUGAACCCAAAAAGGCAUUGUUAUAUUUAGGUUAAUUUCUGCUAUUAGACCCUAUACUUUGCGUAAGUUGUGGAUUUAGUACUUGUACUUUAAUUAGGUCAUUUUCAAUCUCUAUACUUUUAGAAUUUGAAAAUUUUAGUCCUAACUAAAUAAUAACUAUUAAAUUCAUUAAGUUCUGUUA